UCAACCACCCACGCGCUGGAAGCGCGGGGUUUGGCGAAUAGCCGACCCUGGUUGAUUAGCCCAAGUGCCACGAGCACUACGUUAUGCCGGAAUGCAUAGGCACUACGGGAUAUCGUCCUGGUCCCGUACUCUGC
rnacentral:sRNA from 1 species